GGGAUAUUUCAUUCUCGUAGGGAGAAAUGCAAUGCUCAUCCCUCCUCCCUCACAUCCCCCCCCACCACUUCCUUGGUGCCCUUCCAAGGUAGGGCCCUUGGUGCUGGCUGCUCAGUCCUCCCCCAGGGGUGGCUUUCCAAGGCCAAGAGGGCCAGAGAGGGCUGCUGCCAGAGAUGCUUCUGUUCUGGCUCCUUCUCACUCCCCUUCCUGUCUGUUGGGGCUUUUGGUGGCAGCACCUAGUCCUGAUGGGGUUAGAGUACCACCCUGGAGCGGAUGGUGUGUGCACCAGCAAGCAUCCAGUCAAUUCAUGAGUUAUCCUCUGCGUGAGCUGGGCUGUGAUGUGCCGUUAUCUUCCUGCUCCCAUUGUACACUUCACACACCAGCUUUCUCUCCAGACAGUUGUUUGAUCACUACUUCGAAUAUCAUGACCAUAGGCUCAUUUAUUUUUUUCUGUUUUAAAGGAUGUUGCUGGUGUGCACAGGGAGCAGCCACGUCAAUUCACACAUUUGCCAAGGACAAUGAGAAUACAGUUUCCUCCGAAAAAAUCUUAGGCUGAUCUUGGAAGAAAGACCCCCUGGAUCAUCUAAAAAUAAAGUUUUCUAUUUAAAGAACAUCCCUGUAGCUAAAUGGUGUUCAAAGUAAACAUGGAGAACAGAAAGCAUCCAUCUCUACCUAGUGGGGCAAAAGAUGACUGAAUUCCCAUACCAUAUAAAUACCCCAUGAAAACACAGAGGAAUCCUUGAUCCACCCAGCAUUCACUGAGUAUCUGCCUCGUGGCAAGCACUGCGGAUGUGCUUGGAUACAAAGAUAAAUAAAACGUGGGCUCCACUCCCAGCAGUUCAACAUCUAGCAGUCUUUGUCCCAUGCUCUUAAAUCUUGCUAAGGAUUGGGUUUUGUUUGUAAUAGAAAUUCUAAAGCAGGGACAGAAGAAGUUAUCUUUCCUAAAUUGCCCACCUCUGUUGUCUAAUUAUUCCACUGAGGAAAACACUUGGUCCUGGUCUUGGUCCUUCGCUGAGCUCAGAUAUGUUUUGCUGACACACAGAGUCUGGGCAGCAUCCAGCCCCCCGUUUACUCCCUGGUCUUUAAGUCUAGUAAGUAUUUUAUCAUUUACACCUUUCGAUGUCCAAAGAGAGUGCCGCUCGGGGUUUAAAACAUGCAAUUUCCUUUACUACGUCCCCAAA